rnacentral:rRNA from 1 species
UACGUAGGGGGCAAGCGUUGUCCGGAAUCAUUGGGCGUAAAGAGCGUGUAGGCGGCUUGGUAAGUCCGAUGUGAAAGUCCAGGGCUCAACCCUGGAAUGCCGGUGGAAACUGUCAAGCUUGAGUCCGGAAGAGGCGAGUGGAAUUCCUGGUGUAGCGGUGAAAUGCGCAGAUAUCAGGAGGAACACCAAUGGCGAAGGCAGCUCGCUGGGACGGUACUGACGCUGAGACGCGAAAGCGUGGGGAGCAAACAGG